CAUGCUCAGUCCCAUGGCUGCGUGUGGCUCCGUUGACAUUUAAGCAGAGAGCACUCAGCGUUGUUGUUCGUUGGGGAGAAAAAAAAAGCGUUUCAUUUCGGAUAAAUCAGUCUUGUAAGAGCCGUUUAUUAUCGAAAUACUGGGGUUUUUACGUUUGUUUGUUUUUUUUCUCUCGAAAAUAGUGAACGAAGGCGUAAUCCGUCGUUCGGUUUCAUUUGCUUGCAAGUUUGCAAUGCUAGUAAUCGUGCUAGUUUGAGAUAUUGCUCAGACCAAACCAGUUCGAUCGUUAGCUUCCUUCCAUGCCUUUCCACAAUCCCGUUUGCCUGGCACCGAUUGUGGUUACCUCGCGUAUUUAUUUUCCCGAGCGAAAUAAUGUAAGCCCUUCUUCUGCGCAUAAUGGACAGAGACUUGUUGAGGCAGUGUCUGACGUAUCACGGAGAGUCCUUGUUCAGCACAUUAAAAUGUGAACAGACUGAGAAUCCCGACUUUCAAGCCGUGGUGGCUGACCUGUGUAAGGCUCCGUAUGAGGGAAAUGGCGAAGAGCAGAGCAGCCCCCUUGUGGAGCAGUUCAUUGCUCGGAAGGCUGACAUUCUUUUCAGUCCAUCGUGGAAGACUGCGACUCCGAAAGAAGAAGAACAACCGCGACAGGAGGAAGCCGCAGAGGCUUAUGCUGCCAUGCCCCCCCUGGAGUUAUUCAUGGAGGUGCCUUUUGAGGAGAGAAGGGCCAUGCUUUACCGGGAUUUGGAACGAGGCGACAUCGUGGUGGGAAGGAUCAACAACGUUCGCGAAUAUGGCUUCUUUCUUACGCUCAUUUGCAUGGCGGGCGGGCUGAACAGAGACAUCGAAGACUUGGAGUUAUCGGCUCUUUGUCACAUUAAAGAAAUCCCCUCAGCCGGCAGCCACGACGAUCCUUUGUCCUACUACCAGAUCGGGGACUUGAUCAGAGCCCUUGUGAAAGAUAUCGACCGCUACCAGGAAAAAAUAACCGUCUCCCUCCUGCAAGCAUCCAUUUCUGGCCAAUCCGAGUGCAUCCAACUCGGAGUCGUGACCAGGGAGGAGCUGCCCGUGCAAUACGAUCGUAGCGUUUGCGCAGCCAGCGACUUCAGCAAGACGUACGAGCGCAUCCUGACGGGUUGCCACGGCUACCACAACCCCUGCGUGGUGGACUACCUGCUGGAGAACAUCGGCGUCAGUGACGUCCAUCCUCCGUCCAUGAUGCGAGGCCUCCAAAGUCAGCUGUUUGCAAAAGAAGAUUUUGCGUCCGUCAUCCGGAAGAAGCAGUCGGCAUCCUGGGCCUUGAAAUGUGUCAAGGCAGGUGUGGGCCACUUCAAGCAGGGUCGCCACGUGGAAGCCAUGAAUGAGUACAACAAAGCUUUGGACAUCGACACCAAUAACGUGGAAGCGCUGGUGGCGCGCGGCGCUCUGUAUGCAAACAAAGGCGUGAUCCUGAAGGCCAUAUCGGACUUCGAAUUGGCGCUGGAGACGUGCCCGGAUCACCGCAAUGCCAAGAAGUACCUUUGCCAAACACUGGUUGAGAGAGGAAAACAACUCGAGGAACAAGAGAAGCUGGUGACGGCGGAAGGCGUGUACAGGCGAGCGCUUUCUCUGGAUGACGCAAACCCCGAGGCUCAGGAGGCCUUGAGGAAAAUCACCGAGACCAUCCAGAAUUCCAUUCGCCUGCGGGAAGAAGCGCUGGCGAAGGAAGAGGAAGAGAAAGCCAAAAGCAGUCAGAGCAGUGCUGAGAAAUUGCGUAAGCUCUUAAAAGAGGAGAAGAGGAUGAAAAGAAAACGCAAGAGGUCGACCUCUUCCUCGUCCUCCUCGUCCUCCGCGUCGUCGUUGUCGUCCUCGCGCAGGAGAGCCAAAAAAAAGAAAAAGAAAAAGAGGAAGUCGGCGCGAGGAAGCAAGCGCCGCGCCAGCAGGCGCAGGAGCGACGAGGGAAAGCGCGGCAGGAAGAGGAAGGAAGACGACGAGGAGGACGAGUGGUACCCGGCACCCCCCGACACCUCCGCCACCUUUCUCGACCAAAAGACGUGGGAGGCGUUCGGGGCCACCGAUGAGGAGGAGGAUGUGGGGGGGCCCAGCACCAAGCCCAAAGAUGCCAACGGCCCGAGGAUCUGUCUGUAUUCUUUGUCGCCGUCCUCAGAAGACGACGACGACGUCUGCGAGUGGCCGUCGCACCCCGCCAGGGAAAGGAGCAGGCAAAGUAGGAGCGCAAGUUCAGGCGCAGAAGAAGACGGCAGGACCAGGAGCAGCGAAAGACGGACGGCCGAUCAAAGAAGUUGCGUCGAUGAGAGGAAGCGCAGAGUUUCCUGCUCCUCGGCCGAUUCGGCGUAUUCCAGAAAAUUAGGGCCAGGGAACGAUUUUUCCAAAGAUCAAACACUGCCGGAGGAAGGAAAAGCUGCAGAAGGGCAAGCCGGUUGGAGCCAGUCGGACCAGGCCCGAGUCCGAGCGGAGCAGGAGGAAGAGAUCUCGCUCCCGCAAGGAAGGUCCAAAGAAGACCUUCCGGCAAACCUCUUGGACAUCUUUCAGCAGAUUGCAAAGUUUCAGAAGGAGAAAGGCAUCGGAGCCAAAAAGGCGGCAAAUUCCAUUUGAAAGGAAAGAAUUGAAGAAUUGCUCGCAAUUGGUUGCCGUUGAAGAAGCCCCCGUCGAAAGACGCCAAACGUCGAGCGCACGCCCACAAACCUUCCGAUUGGUGAAUCUCUCAAAGAAAAACAAUCGGGGUGGUUCUCCAAAAGUAGGAUCCAGAGUCAAAUUAGUUUUUUUUUUUUUAAUGGUCAAUCAAAUGAGAUGAUGGAAUUUAGUUUUCACACUCGUUCUUUGCGCGGGAUUCCAUAUCGUUUCGCUGCGCGCAUUUCAAGAUUUUGCGAAGCCAACGGCUAAUAAGUUGCCGUGUCCACGUGAUCCUCAAACGGAACGACACGUAACAUGACGUCCAUGAAUCACCAUUCAGAGGUCAAGUGUUAAAAAAAAAAAAAAAAACCUUUUUAUUAUUUUGUAACUUGAGUAUCGGUGCUCCGGUACCGAGCGCUCCGAGAUCAAACGAUGGAGGUACCGCAAAAACAUUCAACAGUCUGCGAACAAAGUCUCGAGCGUCCCAUCUUUCUUUAUUCAUAGUCCAGGACAGGGAAGGUGCCAUUUCAAACAAACCAUUCGGACUUGCUUUUUGAACAAGUUUGUCGUUGUGCUCUCAUGUCACAUUCCUGGAGCAUAUUUUUGAGAAGCGCCCAGAUAGGAGCUUAUUGCAUGAAAGAAUGGGAAUUCUUUGUUUGUUUUUGUCCACGUUUGCUCAUAUGACUGGCUGGCGACCAGUUCAGGGCGUUCCAAAGUCAGCUGGUAUAGACGGCAAAUCUCGUGGAGCGUUAUUGAUGGCCUUACGUAGUGCAUUGCGCCUAUACACGUCAACCCACGUCUCGAGAUGUUCGUUCGCCCAUUCAUUCGUUUUGCCCCCCCCCCCUCCCCCAAAUGUAAGUUUCAAUAAAGUCUUACUUGAAUCGUGUGACUUUUGCGUCCGCGUUCCAUUUCGGUGUUCAUUUGCGGUCUUUCUAACGGCCGCGAUGGCGCAAGAGUGGUGAAAACCCGAGUCACGACGGCGCAACUUCUUUGAAGACCUUUCGAGCGACUCGCAAGAGCUCGAAAACGUUGCUUGAAUUGUUGAAGCCGCCUUCCGGCUCGCCGUGCGCGGCGGACGGCCCUUUUCACGUCAGGAUUUCGACGGCGAACAAGCCGGGCAAGCGCGAGCGUUUGAAGUCCCAAGUGGCGACCAAAUGCACUCUUGAACGUACGUGCGGCGUCCCUCCCGCGGUUAGCUAACUUCAAGCAAACGACAUCACCUCGGAACUUUUUAAAAAAUCCCUUUAUACAGCCACGCACUUAACGACUUGUGCUUUUCCGCCGAUAAAAUGCAAGGGAACUGGCCGCUUCCCUUCAAUCGUUACUGUUUGUUGCUUCAGCUAUCGAAUGGUCGUAUUCUGAGAAUCGAGGACACAUUUUCCCCAGUCAGGCGUGUUCCUGCUUUCCAACGCAGCGGUAUUUUCGGGCGGACUAUUGAGCACUUCUCGGACCACUUGGUAAACAUUCUCACGCUUCGAACACACCAGCAACGUAUGAGUAAAACGUAUUUGUCGACUGCUAACACGAGAUAGCACAGAUAGCAGUGCUGACGUAUGACGUCAUGCUAAUGCCAUGCUAAUAGGUUUCUUGUCCAUUUGCUCUGCGUAUCUUUGCUGCGGUAUAUUAAAAUUAUUUCUUAAACUUUUUUUUACAUGAUCUCGUUUGAGUAAACAUUCUCACGCUUCGAACACACCGGCAACGUAUGAGUAAAACGUAUUUGUCGACUGCUAACACGACAUAGCACAGACAGCAGUGCUGACGUAUGACGUCAUGCUAAUGCCAUGCUAAUAGGUUUCUUGUCCAUUUCCACAGCGUAUCCUUGCUGCGGUAUAUUAAAAUUAUUUCUUAAAAUUAUUUUUUUUUACAUGAUCUCGUUUGAGUCACCCCCAAAUUGGCUUGCUUGGCUUACUGGCCGCCUUAAGCCACUUGGUGUCACAUAUUUGAUUCAAUAAUCAAACACACGCAACCGACGUGUGUGUGUGUGUGGCCAGCCGUGUAUCACCCUUGGCAAAAGUAGCUUACUUCAGGCUUAGCUGCCAAACCGUGGAUCAUUACUGGGCCCAUCAUCAGAAAUGCGGCACAGCGGUUCUAUGCGAUAUCUCGCCGGGCAGAUUAACCGCCGAGUCUAAUACCGAACGCUCACUCUUGUGAUUGUUGCUGCUGUCACAUACUGUACUGUACGUCUGUCCUUUUAAAAAAAAUAUCUUUUUUAAAGUGCCAACUAUACAGUAGAUAAUUGGAGUUACUGUCGGGUUGUUAACGGACAACUCCGCCUCGGUCCAAUAGUGACGGGUGUGCAUCUCUUCUCUUGUCCACUGGAGGGCAGUGCAACAUAAUGCCACAGCUCCAAUAACUUACUCCAUGGAGGGUUAGGGGGGGUUCAGGUUUCCUUCCACACAGACAUCAAGCAUGCUUUGCUUAAAUUUCUUAAUGUUAAAUGUGUUAUAUAAUUUUUUU